ensembl:lncRNA
GUCCCACGAUGGCUCCGCGCAGGCCGAUAGCUCCACUCUGCCCUCCUCUGCUCCACAGGUGACAACAAGGACAAAACACUGCUUUGAAAGAUGAUUGGUUUUGUAUUUAUAUUCUAAAUAGUCCUGAAAAAGCACUAAAUGGCAACAAUUCAGAUCUUUGAUUAAGCUUUUAAGUCAUUUAUGGAAGAUAAAUUCUAAACAUGAUAAAAUGAGAUUAAACUUUUUUUGAUCACUGCAGGGGAAACUCUGUAGUUUCAGAAGGACAUAUAGUCACAUAUAACCAUAUGAAUCAGUCCAAUGGACAGGAUGAGUGUUUUAAAUGUGAGUGUGUUUUUUUUCCUUCCUACCAAGUUCUGACUAAAAAACCCUGCAAAGGCUGAACUAGACAGAAAAGAUAUUGAAUUGAAUGAAUAUGAAUACAGACUGCCUAACUGCUAGAGGACUCACAUUUGUGAACCAGUGAAGGUCUGACACACAGCCCUAGUCCUAAAGUCCUUGUUGCAAUGCAGGUGAAGCAGGAGGCCCCGGAGCUGCUACAGGAGGAAGAGGAGGUGAUCUGCAUCAAGGAGGAGCCAAAGGAAGAUCAGGAAGUGACGGCCUCCCUUCUGCCGGACUGCCACGUGCAGCAGGGUCCUUUUCCAGUGUCAGAGGUGAGGCUACAGCUGAAAGGUCAAAUCUGUCCACAACAAGUGUCCUUCCCAGGGAAAUAAGUUCUGCCUCACAACUGACCAUCACAAAGUGUUGGGAACAACCUGUGGAUGCUCUUCCAGGCUCAGCGGUCAGCGACGGAGUGUUUGGGACCUCCAGUGAGCCAGAGAAGUGACACCGCAGCCUUCGGCUCAGCCGGACCCAACCCCCAUCUGAUGCCUCAGCCGGUGGCCUCCCUGCUGCAGCCGAUGGUGGCUCUGCCAUGCGGCGUCCUGCCUCGCCAGGCGCCGCGGCCCUGGCCUAAAGAUCUCAGUCUUUAUGAAGAAUACAAACUGCGCCGCAAUGAGCUCCGCAGGCGAAGCAUCAACAGACGCAGAGAGCUGGAGAAGACGCUGCCUCAGCCACUACUGGCUGACCUGGUGCGAGAGCGUCGUGAGAAGACCAGACUGCGGGUGGCCAGAUGGAGGGCGAAGAGGAAACUCCAGGACUGCAUCAAGCAGGACCACUCUCUAGGUGGCGCUGCAGGUCUUUCUCCAGCGGGCUUUGCUCUCGGCAGCCAGCAUCAGCAGCCCAGAGGGACCUGCGCCUCCGGCAGCCAGCAGAGACUCUCCUCAGCUCCGCCUCCGUCCGACGGCUUCCUCUCAGACCCUCUGCCCUUCAUCCCCACCUCCUCCUCCUCCUCCUCCUCGUUUCUCUAUCUGGGAGGCCACAACAUGGCUCCGCACCAGCACACUGUGACAUCGUCAGCCUGUUGCAGCAGAUCGCCUCGUUGA